rnacentral:misc_RNA from 1 species
GUAAAAUGAGGCGCAUAAAGAAAAAUACUCAGCAGCUCCUCGUAUCUCAUUAGGCCAUUGAGUCACGCCGCCGCCUCCCCCUUCCCCAAAGCCUCAGCUCCAUCUUACCUCUUUCUUCCCAUUCCCUCGCUGUCACUGUCUUCGAAGCCGCAUCACUGAAGCAAUUCGUCGGUGCUCUUCGCAGGAAGAUGACAACUAUUGAAACAGAAAUGGAUCAGCCUCCGAAAAAUAAGGUUUCUACUGCCACUGCUAAGAUUCAAAGUUCAGCUUCGUCAUUCGAAAGAUGGGGAAGGAAGCAUCCAUUUGUCAGAUAUGGGCUUCCCAUGAUUUCACUCACUGUCUUUGGGGCAGUAGGCCUUGGUCAUUUGUUGCAAGGCAGCAAGGAUAUUGCAAAGGUGAAGGAUGAUCAAGAAUGGGAGAUUAUUGAGACAAGAAAAGCAUUAUCUAGAACAGGGCCUGUAGAAGCAUACAAUCCUAAAAAGACUACACUGGAAGAGGAGUUAAAGGCUUUGCAAAAGAAAGUGGACAUAAACAACUACGAGUACAAAAGAAUUCCAAAGCCAAAUGAAGGCAAGUCAGGCUAGUCUCUGGCUCGUUUCUAUCUACACUGUACUACGAGAAAUUUUAGAAUACAACCGUUGUUAUAACCAUUAAUCAUGGUGGAUCCUAUGUGAGUUUCACCAUAAUCAACGUUUAAAAUCUAUCCAUUGUACAUACGACGGUUGUACCAAAUAAAUUUUCCUAUAGUACCCCCCA